AAUACGUAGGCAGCGAGUGUUGUUCGGAGUUACUGGGCGUAAAGCGUGCGUAGGCGGUGGCCCAAGUCUGGUGUGAAAUCUCCCGGCUUAACCGGGAGGGUGCGCCGGAAACUGGGUUGCUUGAGUGCCGGAGAGGCAGGCGGAAUUCCUGGUGUAGCGGUGAAAUGCGUAGAUAUCAGGAGGAACACCCGUGGUGUAGACGGCCUGCUGGACGGUAACUGACGCUGAGGCACGAAAGCGUGGGGAGCAAACAG
rnacentral:rRNA from 1 species